UACAGAGGUCUCGAGCGUUGUUCGGAUUCAUUGGGCGUAAAGGGCGCGUAGGCGGCGGGGAAAGUCUGGUGUGAAAUCUCGGAGCUCAACUCCGAAAUUGCACUGGAUACUGCUCUGCUAGAGGGCUGGAGAGGAGAUCGGAAUUCACGGUGUAGCAGUGAAAUGCGUAGAUAUCGUGAGGAAGACCAGUGGCGAAGGCGGAUCUCUGGACAGCUCCUGACGCUGAGGCGCGAAAGCUAGGGGAGCAAACGGG
rnacentral:rRNA from 1 species